CAUAUCAAUAAGCGGAGGAAAAGAAACCAACAGGGAUUGCCCUAGUAACGGCGAGUGAAGCGGCAUCCAGCUCAAAUUUGAAAUCUGGCUCUUUCAGGGUCCGAGUUGUAAUUUGCAGAGGGCGCUUUGGCGUUGGCAGCGGUCCAAGUUCCUUGGAACAGGACGUCACAGAGGGUGAGAAUCCCGUACGUGGUCGCUGGCCUUCGCCGUGUAAAGCCCCUUCGACGAGUCGAGUUGUUUGGGAAUGCAGCUCUAAAUGGGAGGUAAAUUUCUUCUAAAGCUAAAUACUGGCCAGAGACCGAUAGCGCACAAGUAGAGUGAUCGAAAGAUGAAAAGCACUUUGGAAAGAGAGUCAAAUAGCACGUGAAAUUGUUGAAAGGGAAGCGCUUGCAGCCAGACUUGCCUGUAGUUGCUCAUCCGGGCUUUUGCCCGGUGCACUCUUCUGCGGGCAGGCCAGCAUCAGUCUGGGCGGUUGGAUAAAGGCCUCUGUCACGUACCUCCUUUCGGGGAGGCCUUAUAGGGGAGGCGUAAUGCAACCAGCCUGGACUGAGGUCCGCGCAUCUGCUAGGAUGCUGGCGUAAUGGCUGUAAGCGGCCCGUCUUGAAACACGGACCAAGGAGUCUAACAUCUAUGCGAGUGUUUGGGUGUCAAGCCCGAGCGCGUAAUGAAAGUGAACGGAGGUGGGAUCCCUUUAGGGUGCACCAUCGACCGAUCCUGAUGUCUUCGGAUGGAUUUGAGUAAGAGCAUGGCUGUUGGGACCCGAAAGAUGGUGAACUAUGCUUGAAUAGGGUGAAGCCAGAGGAAACUCUGGUGGAGGCUCGCAGCGGUUCUGACGUGCAAAUCGAUCGUCAAAUUUGGGCAUAGGGGCGAAAGACUAAUCGAACUAUCUAGUAGCUGG
rnacentral:sRNA from 1 species